rnacentral:lncRNA from 1 species
AUUUUCAUGUAUUUUACAUUGGUAUAUUUCUAUUCAUUUACAGGGUGCUCAGGAGGUGGACGUGGUAAUGUGGAGGGAGGCAGCCAUCCUACCAUUGAAGCUCAAUGUGAAAGUCACAUUAACCCAUCUCAAAGGUUCGACGGGAACCUAUGGCUUCAGGCUUCAUACAAGUAACCAUACUAGUAUGAAGGGAGAAGAAGUGUCCAAGUCGGAGGUGAUUGUCAAUUUUAACGCUCAAGGAUGAAACUGAAAUCACAAUCCCUGAAAAAAUGUGGAAUCCGUUUGAUGAUCUUCUGGACCGGAGCCCAGUAACAGUCGUUAUUGUCACAAAGGAAGGGGAAAUCAUCGACGCUACUGUUAUGGAUGAAGAUCAGGAGGAAUAAAACCACACACACACACA